ACUUUGGUUGGAGGUGAGCAGGCUCAGGAGGCUGGCAGGUCUUGGAGUUGUCCCCAGGGCUAUCCCCAGCCAUGCCCCAAGCCAGAAACAGACCACGCUCCGCAUAGCUCAGGUUCCCAGAAGACUCUUGACAAGGGUCAGGCCCUUUGUCCGGUGAGAUCCCGCCUACGUCUACAGAGAAUCUGCAAAGCUUGAAUUCCACCACGAGCUGGUGAAGGCCCAGGGUCUCCUCCCUGGACUCCCCAGGAGCUUCUCCACCUCCCAUCAGACCAUGCAGCCCAGGUCACCAGAGAGAGGCAGAGAGCUCUGUGGACAUUAGGCUUGAGGUCUGGCCAGGAGCAGGCCAAGGAGCAUUCCAGCUGUAUUCUGACCACUCUGGGGACACUGAGAGCUUAGACAUCCUCAGCCUAUUCCUGAGAUCCUGGAAUGAACCAACACUCUGGGAAAAGUAGCAACAGGACCAGCCUAAACCCUCCCUCCAGAAGCAAAGCAGCACCCAGGCCUUGCUGUUGUUUUUUUUUCUAUUUUGAGGUUUUGCAUUACUGCUCUGAUUUUUUCUCUUAUAACAGGAUUAAUGCAGAAAUAGGAUUAAUGUUAUUAUGUGUAUAUAUAUAUAUAUUUG